GAUUUGAUAGUUUAAUAAAAACAUUGGUCUUGUAAACCAAAAAUGAACAAAAAUGUUCUCAAAUCA
rnacentral:tRNA from 7 species